AAACCAACAGGGAUUGCCUCAGUAACGGCGAGUGAAGCGGCAAAAGCUCAAAUUUGAAAUCUAGCACUUUCAGUGUUCGAGUUGUAAUUUGAAGAAGGUAACUUUGGUUUUGGCUCUUGUCUAUGUUCCUUGGAACAGGACGUCACAGAGGGUGAGAAUCCCGUGCGAUGAGAUGCCCAAUUCCAUGUAAAGUGCUUUCGAAGAGUCGAGUUGUUUGGGAAUGCAGCUCUAAGUGGGUGGUAAAUUCCAUCUAAAGCUAAAUAUUGGCGAGAGACCGAUAGCGAACAAGUACAGUGAUGGAAAGAUGAAAAGAACUUUGAAAAGAGAGUGAAAAAGUACGUGAAAUUGUUGAAAGGGAAGGGCUUGAGAUCAGACUUGGUAUUUUGCGUUCCCUUCCUUUUUGGUUGGGUUCCUCGCAGUUUACUGGGCCAGCAUCGGUUUGGAUGGUAGGAUAAUGACAUUGGAAUGUAGCUUUACUUCGGUGAAGUGUUAUAGACUUUGUUGAUACUGCCUAUCUAGACCGAGGACUGC
rnacentral:rRNA from 1 species